UUAGAGUUUGAUCCUGGCUCAGAUUGAACGCUGGCGGCAGGCUUAACACAUGCAAGUCGAGCGGUAGCACAGGGGAGCUUGCUCCCUGGGUGACGAGCGGCGGACGGGUGAGUAAUGUCUGGGAAACUGCCUGAUGGAGGGGGAUAACUACUGGAAACGGUAGCUAAUACCGCAUAACGUCGCAAGACCAAAGAGGGGGACCUUCGGGCCUCUUGCCAUCAGAUGUGCCCAGAUGGGAUUAGCUAGUAGGUGGGGUAAUGGCUCACCUAGGCGACGAUCCCUAGCUGGUCUGAGAGGAUGACCAGCCACACUGGAACUGAGACACGGUCCAGACUCCUACGGGAGGCAGCAGUGGGGAAUAUUGCACAAUGGGCGCAAGCCUGAUGCAGCCAUGCCGCGUGUGUGAAGAAGGCCUUCGGGUUGUAAAGCACUUUCAGCGAGGAGGAAGGUGGUGAGCUUAAUACGUUCAUCAAUUGACGUUACUCGCAGAAGAAGCACCGGCUAACUCCGUGCCAGCAGCCGCGGUAAUACGGAGGGUGCAAGCGUUAAUCGGAAUUACUGGGCGUAAAGCGCACGCAGGCGGUUUGUUAAGUCAGAUGUGAAAUCCCCGGGCUCAACCUGGGAACUGCAUUUGAAACUGGCAAGCUAGAGUCUCGUAGAGGGGGGUAGAAUUCCAGGUGUAGCGGUGAAAUGCGUAGAGAUCUGGAGGAAUACCGGUGGCGAAGGCGGCCCCCUGGACGAAGACUGACGCUCAGGUGCGAAAGCGUGGGGAGCAAACAGGAUUAGAUACCCUGGUAGUCCACGCUGUAAACGAUGUCGAUUUGGAGGUUGUGCCCUUGAGGCGUGGCUUCCGGAGCUAACGCGUUAAAUCGACCGCCUGGGGAGUACGGCCGCAAGGUUAAAACUCAAAUGAAUUGACGGGGGCCCGCACAAGCGGUGGAGCAUGUGGUUUAAUUCGAUGCAACGCGAAGAACCUUACCUACUCUUGACAUCCAGAGAACUUUCCAGAGAUGGAUUGGUGCCUUCGGGAACUCUGAGACAGGUGCUGCAUGGCUGUCGUCAGCUCGUGUUGUGAAAUGUUGGGUUAAGUCCCGCAACGAGCGUAACCCUUAUCCUUUGUUGCCAGCGGUUCGGCCGGGAACUCAAAGGAGACUGCCAGUGAUAAACUGUGAGGAAAGGUGGGGGAUGACGUCAAAGUCAUCCAUGGCUC
rnacentral:rRNA from 1 species